CGCCUGUUUAUCAAAAACAUGUCUUUUUGAUUAAUAAUUUAAAGUCUGGUCUGCCCACUGAUUAAAAUAAUUAAAGGGCUGCAGUAUUUUGACUGUACAAAGGUAGCAUAAUAAUUAGUCUUUUAAUUGAUGACUUGUAUGAAUGAUUGGAUAAAAUAUAAGCUGUCUCUUAAUAAAUUUAUAGAAUUUAAUUUUUUAUUUAAAAAGUUAAAAUAAUUUUAAAAGACGAGAAGACCCUAUAGAGUUUAAUAAUUUUAUAAAUUAAAAUUAUAUUUAUAAAUUUAAUUAAAAAUUAUAUAAUUAUUUUAUUGGGGUGAUAAAAAAAUUAAUAAAACUUUUUUUAAAUAUUAACAAAAAUAAUUGAAUAUUUGAUCCAAUUUUAUUUUGAUUAUAAGAUUAAAUUACCUUAGGGAUAACAGCGUAAUUUUUUUUUUUAGUUCUUAUAAAAAAUAAAGUUUGCGACCUCGAUGUUGGAUUAAGAUAAGAUUUAAAUGCAAAAGUUUAAAAUUUUGAUCUGUUCGAUCAUUAAAAUCUUACAUGAUCUGAGUUCAAACCGGAG
rnacentral:rRNA from 1 species